rnacentral:rRNA from 1 species
GACGAACGCUGGCGGCGUGCUUAACACAUGCAAGUCGAACGGAAAGGCCCUGCUUUUGUGGGGUGCUCGAGUGGCGAACGGGUGAGUAACACGUGAGUAACCUGCCCUUGACUUUGGGAUAACUUCAGGAAACUGGGGCUAAUACCGGAUAGGAGCUCCUGCUGCAUGGUGGGGGUUGGAAAGUUUCGGCGGUUGGGGAUGGACUCGCGGCUUAUCAGCUUGUUGGUGGGGUAGUGGCUUACCAAGGCUUUGACGGGUAGCCGGCCUGAGAGGGUGACCGGCCACAUUGGGACUGAGAUACAGCCCAGACUCCUACGGGAGGCAGCAGUGGGGAAUAUUGCACAAUGGGCGGAAGCCUGAUGCAGCAACGCCGCGUGCGGGAUGACGGCCUUCGGGUUGUAAACCGCUUUCUCCUGUGACGAAGCGUGAGUGUCGGUAAUGGGUAAAGAAGCACCGGCUAACUACGUG